rnacentral:rRNA from 1 species
AGUGAACGCUGGCGGUAGGCCUAACACAUGCAAGUCGAACGGCAGCACAGUAAGAGCUUGCUCUUACGGGUGGCGAGUGGCGGACGGGUGAGGAAUACAUCGGAAUCUACUUUUUCGUGGGGGAUAACGUAGGGAAACUUACGCUAAUACCGCAUACGACCUACGGGUGAAAGCAGGGGAUCUUCGGACCUUGCGCGAUUGAAUGAGCCGAUGUCGGAUUAGCUAGUUGGCGGGGUAAAGGCCCACCAAGGCGACGAUCCGUAGCUGGUCUGAGAGGAUGAUCAGCCACACUGGAACUGAGACACGGUCCAGACUCCUACGGGAGGCAGCAGUGGGGAAUAUUGGACAAUGGGCGAAAGCCUGACCGAGCAAUACCGCGUGAGUGAAGAAGGCCUUCGGGUCGUAAAGCUCUUUUGUUGGGAAAGAAAAGCAGCAGGUGAAACCCUCGCUGUUCUGACGGUACCUAAAGAAUAAGCAACGGCUAACUUCGUG